AGCGAACGCUGGCGGCAGGCCUAACACAUGCAAGUCGAACGAACCUUUCGGGGUUAGUGGCGGACGGGUGAGUAACACGUGGGAACGUGCCUUUAGGUUCGGAAUCACUCAGGGAAACUUGUGCUAAUACCGAAUGUGCCCUUCGGGGGUAAGAUUUACCGCCUUUGGAGCGGCCCGCGUCUGAUUAGCUAGUUGGUUGAGGUAAUGGCUCACCAAGGCGACGAUCAGGAGCUGGUCUGUGAGGAUGAUCAGCCACAUUGGGACUGAGACACGGCCCAAACUCCUACGGGACGCAGCAGUGGGGAGUCUUGCGGAAUGGGCGAAAGCCUGACGCAGCCAUGCCGCGUGAAUGAUGAAGGUCUUAGGAUUGUAAAAUUGUUUCACCGGGGACGAUAAUGACGGUACCCGGAGAAGAAGCCCCGGCUAACUUCGUG
rnacentral:rRNA from 1 species